AUAUAGAACUAGAUCAUAACAUGUGCUAUACAGCACGGGCAUUAAUAUUUUUCAUGAAUAAAAUUGAAUACUUUGUUUUGAUUAUCUAAGUGUAAAAGUGAUGCCAUAAUAUGUUUUAAUUUUAUUACUAUUUGAAUACAAUGCUGC
rnacentral:sRNA from 1 species